CCUACGGGGUGCAGCAGUGAGGAAUAUUGGUCAAUGGACGCGAGCCUGAACCAGCCAAGUAGCGUGAAGGAUGACUGCCCUAUGGGUUGUAAACUUCUUUUAUAAAGGAGUAAAGUGAGGCACGUGUGCCUUUUUGUAAGUACUUUAUGAAUAAGGAUCGGCUAACUCCGUGCCAGCAGCCGCGGUAAUACGGAGGAUCCGAGCGUUAUCCGGAUUUAUUGGGUUUAAAGGGAGCGUAGAUGGGUGGUUAAGUCAGUGGUGAAAGUUUGCGGCUCAACCGUAAAAUUGCAAUUGAUACUGUCAGUCUUGAGUACAGUUGAGGUAGGCGGAAUGCGUGGUGUAGCGGUGAAAUGCUUAGAGAUCACGAAGAACUCCGAUUGCGAAGGCAGCUUACUAAACUGCCACUGACAUUGAUGCUCGAAAGUGUGGGGAGCAAACAGGAUUAGAUACCCGGGUAGUC
rnacentral:rRNA from 1 species